rnacentral:rRNA from 2 species
AUAAGCGGAGGAAAAGAAACCAACAGGGAUUCCCCUAGUAACGGCGAGUGAAGCGGGAACAGCUCAAAUUUGAAAUCUGGCCCUUGGGUCCGAGUUGUAAUUUGCAGAGGAUGCUUUUGGUGCGGUGCCUUCCGAGUUCCCUGGAACGGGACGCCUUAGAGGGUGAGAGCCCCGUACGGUUGGCCACCAAGCCUGUGUAAAGCUCCUUCGACGAGUCGAGUAGUUUGGGAAUGCUGCUCAAAAUGGGAGGUAUAUUUCUUCUAAAGCUAAAUACUGGCCAGAGACCGAUAGCGCACAAGUAGAGUGAUCGAAAGAUGAAAAGCACUUUGAAAAGAGGGUUAAAUAGCACGUGAAAUUGUUGAAAGGGAAGGAUUUAUGACCAGACUUUUUCUGGGGGGAUCAUCCGGUGUUCUCACCGGUGCACUUCCCCCAGUUGAGGCCAGCAUCGGUUUCUGCCGGGGGAUAAAAGCUUUGGGAAUGUGGCUCCUUCGGGAGUGUUAUAGCCCGUUGCAUAAUACCCUGGCGGGGACCGAGGUUCGCGCAUUGCAAGGAUGCUGGCGUAAUGGUUAUUAAUCACCCGUCUUGAAACACGGACCAAGGAGUCGAACAUUUGUGCGAGUGUUUGGGUGUUAAACCCUCACGCGUAAUGAAAGUGAACGGAGGUGAGAGCCUUUAGGGGUGCAUCAUCGACCGAUCCUGAUGUCUUCGGAUGGAUUUGAGUAAGAGCAUAACUGUUCGGACCCGAAAGAUGGUGAACUAUGCGUGGAUAGGGUGAAGCCAGAGGAAACUCUGGUGGAGGCUCGCAGCGGUUCUGACGUGCAAAUCGAUCGUCAAAUCUGCGCAUGGGGGCGAAAGACUAAUCGAACCAUCUAGUAGCUGGUUACCGCCGA